GAGUGGCGCACGGGUGAGUAACACGUAGGUAAUCUACCUUCGGGUGGGGAAUAACCCAGGGAAACUUGGGCUAACACCGCAUGAUGCACACAUGGUGACAGUUGUUAAAGCAGGGGAGCGCCUGAAGAGGAGCCUGCGGCGGAUUAGCUAGUUGGUGAGGUAACGGCUCACCAAGGUCACGAUCCGUAGCCGGCCUGAGAGGGCGGUCGGCCACACUGACACUGACAUACGGGUCAGACUCCUACGGGAGGCAGCAGUCGGGAAUUUUGGGCAAUGGGCGAAAGCCUGACCCAGCAACGCCGCGUGAGGGAGGAAAUCCUUCGGGAUGUAAACCUCACAAGCAAGGGAAGAGAGCUCAGGGCCGAAUAAGCCUUGAGUCCGACGGUACCUUGCGUAAGCCACGGCUAACUACGUGCCAGCAGCCGCGGUAAUACGUAGGUGGCAAGCGUUGUUCGGAAUUAUUGGGCGUAAAGGGCGCGUAGGCGGCUUGCUAAGUCGGUUGUGAAAGCCCGGGGCUCAACCCCGGAGGGUCGACCGAUACUGGCGAGCUAGAGUACGGAAGAGGUAGCUGGAAUUCCCGGUGUAGCGGUGAAAUGCGUAGAUAUCGGGAGGAACACCUGAGGCGAAGGCGGGCUACUGGGCCGAUAC
rnacentral:rRNA from 1 species